UACGUAGGGUGCGAGCGUUAAUCGGAAUUACUGGGCGUAAAGCGUGCGCAGGCGGUGAUGUAAGACAGGUGUGAAAUCCCCGGGCUUAACCUGGGAACUGCAUUUGUGACUGCAUGGCUGGAGUGCGGCAGAGGGGGAUGGAAUUCCGCGUGUAGCAGUGAAAUGCGUAGAUAUGCGGAGGAACACCGAUGGCGAGAGCAAUCCCCUGGACCUGUACUGACGCUCAUGCACGAAAGCGUGGGGAGCAAACAGG
rnacentral:rRNA from 1 species